UACGUAGGGGGCUAGCGUUGUCCGGAUUUAUUGGGCGUAAAGCGCGCGCAGGUGGUGCGGUAAGUCUGUCGUGAAAUCUCCCGGCUCAACUGGGAGGGUGCGGUGGAGACUGCCGGACUGGAGGCACUCAGAGGCCGGUGGAAUUCCCGGUGUAGUGGUGAAAUGCGUAGAGAUCGGGAGGAACACCAGUGGCGAAGGCGGCCGGCUGGGGGUGACCUGACGCUGAGGCGCGAAAGCGUGGGGGAGCGAACCGG
rnacentral:rRNA from 1 species